CAGCAGCUCAGCCCACACUGAAGAAAGACAUGGCAAUACCACCACAGUUCUGUCUGCUGUUCAUCACAUUCUCUGUCCUGUUCCCUGCCAUGGCUGAUGACUUGUCGCCCAGGCAAUAAUAUCAGGAGAACCCAGGAGAGGGCCAUUUGUGAUUGGCCAGCUAAACUGCCUCAUGAAUGACCACAUGAACACCGAUCUGGUGCUCUGAAAGAGCACUGAUGAUUGGCCAGAAAUGGUGCUGACGUCACAAGAAAGCAUUGUGAUCAAUCAGGGCUGUCAGAAAAGUCAGGCAGCAGCUCAGCCCGCACUGAAGGAAGACAUGGCAAUACCACCACAGUUCUGUCUGCUGUUCAUCACAUUCUCUGUCCUGUUCCCUGCCAUGGCUGAUGUUUUUUUUACAGAAAGGACAUUCUGGCCAAUACAUAGUAGAAGUAACCAGAUUUACUCUCCUGCAUGAAACAAUGAAAAAAAAAAAUGAAGCAAAAUGCAUGAAAAAAAUGGCUGUUGAGUCACUGGACAUCAGGUAAUGAAAGAAGGAAUGAGAAACAAACAAGGUAGGCCAUGCAGUUAUCCCAGAUUCUCUAUGGAGAGAGUUUCCAGGCUGAGGCUCAGAGUGGAGAGAAUACAGGCAACCCCACUGAUCUUCCUGGGUUAGAGAGAAAGAUGCUCAAGGAUCCAAAGCAGCUGGAGUUCAUACGGCAGAGUGUCAGAAAAGAGAGAGCUGAACAGAAGAAAAGUUGGCAAAUCUUCAGAGAGUCACCCUCAAGUAUUCAACUAAGUAGUGAUCAGUGUAAGCAUUUGAGGAAACUACCUGAGGCCAAGGAAAACCCACCAAAAAGAAUGAGAGAGACCAAUACCCAGAGAAAAUGCAGGGCUGAAAAUAAUGCUUGUUCUCACCAGUGAGCAUGAAAAGCCUCAUAAUCAUAAAACUUGGGUGGAGUACUCAGAAGAGUUUACCUGAGUAGUAGGGAAUUAGCCUUACACUCCUGUGGUCUCACCUAAAAAAAAAAAUCUCAAGAGCAAGUCGAAUUGAUUAAGCUGUUUCCAAGUAAUUUAACCACAAACCAGAACAAAACUCAAUAGUGUGUGUAGGAGUACAAAAAUAUCUGGCACCCAACAAGAUAAAAUUCACAAUGUCUGGCAUUCAACCACAAAUGACCAGGUAUGCAAAGUAGGAAAACACGAUCCAUAAUAAAGAGAAAAUCAGCUAAUCAAAACUGACCCGUCUCUCAGCACGGAUCCACUGCGUUGGUGAAGACUGUGAGACUGAACUUAGGCCUGGAGAGCCUAAGCCAUAAUAAUAAAUGCCCUUUGCUUUUA